GGAAUGUGGAUGGGGAGAUUCUCCAAGCAUGCCAAGUCUCUGUACAAGUAUGUAGGGGCCUAAUCAACUUGUUUGCAUCAGGACCUGAAGUUUAGUAUACAUAAAUUAUGAAGGUCAUAUAAAUUCCCAAUAAAUACAAAUGGUCUGAAGUUUAGUAUAUAUAAAUUAUGUUGGCCUGAAUUCCCAACAACAGACAUCAAGGAGAACAAUAUGAAGAGGAAUAAAUCUUAUGCUUGUCCAUUACAAAACACAAGGGCUAGGAUUAGUAGUAGUUUAAGUUAUACGACACUGGAACCCC
rnacentral:lncRNA from 1 species